rnacentral:rRNA from 1 species
GACGCCUACGGGGCGCAGCAGUGGGGAAUAUUGCACAAUGGGGGAAACCCUGAUGCAGCGACGCCGCGUGAGUGAAGAAGUAUUUCGGUAUGUAAAGCUCUAUCAGCAGGGAAGAAAAUGACGGUACCUGACUAAGAAGCCCCGGCUAACUACGUGCCAGCAGCCGCGGUAAUACGUAGGGGGCAAGCGUUAUCCGGAUUUACUGGGUGUAAAGGGAGCGUAGACGGAGAAGCAAGUCUGAAGUGAAAGCCCGUGGCUUAACCACGGGACUGCUUUGGAAACUGUUUGACUAG